CCUACGGGCGGCAGCAGUGGGGAAUAUUGGACAAUGGGCGAAAGCCUGAUCCAGCCAUGCCGCGUGUGUGAAGAAGGCCUUCGGGUUGUAAAGCACUUUCAGUGGGGAAGAAAGCCUUGGGGCUAAUACCCUCGAGGAAGGACAUCACCCACAGAAGAAGCACCGGCUAACUCCGUGCCAGCAGCCGCGGUAAUACGGAGGGUGCGAGCGUUAAUCGGAAUUACUGGGCGUAAAGCGCGCGUAGGCGGUCUGAUAAGCCGGUUGUGAAAGCCCCGGGCUCAACCUGGGAACGGCAUCCGGAACUGUCAGGCUAGAGUGCAGGAGAGGAAGGUAGAAUUCCCGGUGUAGCGGUGAAAUGCGUAGAGAUCGGGAGGAAUACCAGUGGCGAAGGCGGCCUUCUGGACUGACACUGACGCUGAGGUGCGGAAGCGUGGGUAGCAAACAGGAUUAGAUACCCCGGUAGUC
rnacentral:rRNA from 1 species